CUGGGAUCCCGAGUCAGGCAUUAACAGCAUCAACAUCAUCAUCAGUGAUAACUGUAUCUGCUGCUGCUGCUACUGUUACCACUACUACUGAUUGAGUAUUACCAUGGAUGCCAGGCAUCCUUUGAAGGUGCAGCUUUCAAGAGACUUUCAGAAAAGCCCUCCAUGAGACACCUUUCUCUGUGCUGUGGGAUGAUGGCGCGCUGGGAGAUGAGAGACAGGGUGGAGAAGCCUGGCUCUGGGCCUGAGUCCCCUGCAAGGUACUGGAGCUGGUGUUUAUAAACCUGUCCCUUCAGUACUUGGAAGACAUCCCAUACUUGUCUGGGAGAAUCCUGGACACCUCAUCUCUCAGAGGACAUCUGCAAGCAACUUCCACUUUACUGAAAAUUCUUUAAGCAGUUUACUCAUCCUGGAUAUUUGGAGGCAUUUAAAGAGUGAAGGAGGAGAAAAAUAUAAGCCUCCAGACACUGAUGAGACACUUUCCAUACCUUGACAGCUAUAGAUUCAAAUAAAGUGUGGCUCUGGUCAUUGUCCCAUCCU